CGGCUCGAACAGCCUUUUCGAAGGCUGAGGCACGAAAGCUUCGGGAGCGAACGGGAUUAGAUACCCCGAUAGUCCUAGCUGAGAUAGCUGAGCACUCCUCGGAGGGUCUCCCAUAGCCUUCCGUCGGGAGUGUAAAUUCCAUGUGCUCCGCAGCAAGAGUAUUGUGCCUAGGGCGAAAGUCAACGGAAUCAAGGGGGGCUCUCACAAGAGGUGGAGGAUGUGGGCACAAGCAGCGGACGGGAAGAACCUUAUCCUGGGCUUGACAAGAACCUUAUUAAGGUUUGAAAGCAGAGCCACGGGAACUGAAAGGGGACCGCACCUUCGGGAGCAUGCACAGGUCAGCAUGGGUGUUGUCAUGUCGGGUUAAGUCCGUGUCGGAGCGAAACCCUAACGAGAGCAACCAUUGCCUCAUGUUACAAGUGUCUAAGAGGACUGCCCGGGACAACUGGGAGAAGGUGGGGAUGACGUCAAGUCCAGCAGGGCCUUAUGUCCAGGGGCUACACACUCGCUACAAUGCGCGCACAAAUAGAAGCGAAAGUCGUGAGAGCAAGCAAAUCCAAAAGCCGGUCUCAGUUCGAAUUGCAGUCUGCAACCUCGCUGCAUGAAGCUGGAGUCGUAGUAAUUGCAGGUCAGCCAUACUGCGGUGAAUACGUUCCUGAGCCUUGUACACACCGCCCGUCAACGUCAUGGAAGUGGGGGGCAUCCGAAGUCCGGUGAGCUAACCCUCAAGGGAGGCAGCCGUCGAGGAUGAACUCCGUGAUUGGGACGAAGUCGUAACAAGGUAACCAAGGGCGAA
rnacentral:rRNA from 1 species